GAUGAAGAACGUAGCGAAAUGCGAUAAGUAAUGUGAAUUGCAGAAUUCAGUGAAUCAUCGAAUCUUUGAACGCACAUUGCGCCCGCCAGUAUUCUGGCGGGCAUGCCUGUCCGAGCGUCAUUUCAACCAUCAAGCCUCGUGCUUGUGUUGGGGACCUGCGUCCGACGCAGGCCCUGAAAACCAGUGGCGGGCUCGCUGUCCACACCGAGCGUAGUAACUAACCUCGCUAUGGAGUGGCGCGGGCGCCUGCCGUAAAACCCCCAAUUUCACAAGGUUGACCUCGGAUCAGGUAGGAAUACCCGCUGAACUUAAGCAUAUCAAUAAGCGGAGA
rnacentral:misc_RNA from 1 species